rnacentral:rRNA from 1 species
UCCAGCAAUGCCGCGUGAGUGAUGAAGGCCUUAGGGUUGUAAAGCUCUUUUACCAGGGAUGAUAAUGACAGUACCUGGAGAAUAAGCUCCGGCUAACUCCGUGCCAGCAACCGCGGUAAUACCGAGGGAGCUAGCGUUGUUCGGAAUUACUGGGCGUAAAGCGCGCGUAGGCGGUGAUUCAAGUCGCAGGUGAAAGCCCGGGGCUCAACCCCGGAACUGCCUUUGAAACUAGAUCGCUAGAAUCUUGGAGAGGUCAGUGGAAUUCCGAGUGUGAGGUGAAAUUCGUAGAUAUUCAAUGCAACACCACUGGCGAAAGCGACUGACUGGACAGCUAUUGACUCUGAGGUGCGAAAGCGUGAGGAGCAAACAGGAUUAGAUACCCUGGUAUUCCACGCCGUAAACGAUGAUAACUAAUUGUUCGGGCCAUUGAGGCUUGAGUGAGCUGCUAACGCACUAGCUUAUCCGCCUGGGGAGUACGGUCGCAAGAUUAGCCCUCAAAGGAAUUGACGGGGGCCUGCACAAGCGGUGGAGCAUGUGGUUUAAUUGAAGCAACGCGCAAACCUUACCAGCUUUUGACAUCCUGAUCGCGGAUUGAGAGAUCUUUUCCUUCAGUUCGGCUGGAUCAGUGACAGGUGCUGCAU